rnacentral:lncRNA from 1 species
GAACCUGGAUAAGAGAAAAGAAUGGGUCUGAAAGGAAGAGAUUGUUGGAGAGGAUGAAUAUUUGGUGGAAUCAAAACUAUAUUUAGCUUCAACCCAAGUAAACUUCAGAAGAAGGGCCAGAACUUGGAGAGCACUAUCAGACCAAAUUAUCCACUGGGUCUUGAAUCACUCUGCUAACUGUAACUACAGUAGGAUAAAUUUUAUACCAGUCCUGCACAGAAAGGAGAGCUGUCCUCAAACUCUUGAAUAAUAAAAAUUAACUUUCACAAACUUUGUUUCUGUUAAAGGAAGUAGUAGAAUUAGUCUUGUAUGUAAUGAAGAAUAAUUUUAAUCACCAAAGGAGUACUUUGUUUAAACAUUUUUUGUUUUAAACUCUGCACUCAGGAAGAUCUGUUAACAAGCUCAGCACAGAACCACUGAGAAUCAUUCAUGAGACAUUGGAAGAAUCCACUGAUUGGCUUUAUGGCUUUAUUUCUUUACUGUCUGACAUCGUAUGGAGUGAUGAUGAUGACAGUGAUGAAGGCGAAGUGGAACAUUCCCUGAAAAGAAAAGAAAUUCAUAAAGAGAAACCUGAGAGACAUGAGAAACGAACAUCAUCAAAGGUAAUUCACAGAGACAAACCUGAAAAACAAGAAAAAAAUGAAAGGAAGGAACCCAUAAAGGUGACACAUAAAGACAAAUUGGAAAGACAAGAAAAACCUGAAAAAAAAGAAAGGCAUACAGUUACACACAAGGAGAAACAUGAAAAGCCAGAAAAACCUGAAAAGAAAGCACCUUCUAAAGGUAAUGCUGAUUAUUAUUAGCUGUAGUACAGUUUUAGAAUUUUAGUGCUUUUUCAGUUUGGGAGAAUGUGGAGAUGAGUAUUUAAAGCAUAUAGCUCUUCUAGUCCGUGCUGUAUAUUCUGUGGUCCCUCUCACUUUUUCUUGAGCAGGUCUUAAUCAGCUCCUGACCAAAAUCUUGCACAGCACAUAUUUCUUGCUUAGUUCACUUGUUUCAAUGCACAGAGGUAGUUAUGAAUCAUUCUUCUGCAGCUAAAGGAAUGAGCCUAUGACUAUAAUA